rnacentral:rRNA from 1 species
CCUACGGGGGGCUGCAGUGGGGAAUAUUGCACAAUGGGCGCAAGCCUGAUGCAGCCAUGCCGCGUGUGUGAAGAAGGCCUUCGGGUUGUAAAGCACUUUCAGCGAGGAGGAAGGGUUAGUAGUUAAUACCUGCUAGCUUUGACGUUACUCGCAGAAGAAGCACCGGCUAACUCCGUGCCAGCAGCCGCGGUAAUACGGAGGGUGCGAGCGUUAAUCGGAAUUACUGGGCGUAAAGCGUACGCAGGCGGUCAUUUAAGUCAGAUGUGAAAGCCCCGGGCUCAACCUGGGAACUGCAUUUGAAACUGGAUGACUAGAGUGCGACAGAGGGUGGUAGAAUUUCAGGUGUAGCGGUGAAAUGCGUAGAGAUCUGAAGGAAUACCGAUGGCGAAGGCAGCCACCUGGGUCGACACUGACGCUCAUGUACGAAAGCGUGGGUAGCAAACAGGAUUAGAUACCCUUGUAGUC